UUUUACUAUUUAUAGGUUUAUGUUUGAGUAAAAUGAACAUUGUUGUUUUAUUCUAUAAACUACAGACAACAUUUCUCCCAAAUUACAAAUAAAAAUAUUCUCAUUUAGAGCAUUUAUUUACAGAAAAUGAGAAAUGUCUGAAAUAACAAAAAAGAUGCAGAACUUUCAGACCUCAAAUAAUGCAAAGAAAACAAGUUCAUAUUCAUAAAGUUUUAAGAGUUCAGAAAUAAUCAAUAUUUAGUGGAAUAAUCCUGGUUCUGGUUUUUAAUCACAGUUUUUUUUUUCAUGCAUCUUGGCAUCAUGUUCUCCUCCACCAGUCUUACACACUGCUUUUGGAUAACUUUAUGCUGCUUUACUCCAGGUGCAAAAAUUCAAGCAGUUCAGUUUGGUGGUUUGAUGGUUUGUGAUCAUCCAUCUUCCUCUUGAUUAUAUUCCAGAGGUUUUCGGGUUUGGUAAAAUCAAAGAAAAUCAUCAUUUUUAAGUGCUCUCUUAUUUUUUUCCAGAGCUGUAGUAUAGUGUGUACAUAUUUAGAGCGUUUAUCGUGUUGAUUUUUAGCGGCUAUUAAAGCAAGGCGUCCAGUUCGGGCCAUAAAUCAGGCGUGUGACAAAAAUUCCCCACAUUUUCAUAUCAUUUGCAUAAAUUUGCAUAGUGCUUGCAUAUACAGCAAUUUGGUCAGCAGGUUUUGAGGGCUUGAAUUAUUAUUUUUAAUAACAGAAGCCCAGUUUUCCCCAAAAGAGUCUCAUAAGCAUUUGGAGAGAGAGAGAGAGAGAGAGAGCACAGUGUGAUGCUCACUCAACCAUUAAAUGUGGAUGUGAUUUCUGUGCAUCAUGAGCACACUGACCAGCAUUCAGUCAACCUCACUCACAAGAUAACACCUCACAACGUAUACAGGUAUGGUCAGGUCAAAACCAUGUUAGCUUGGCUUUAGUAUCCGUGUGAAAAGAGAAUCUGAGAGACUGAAAAUAAUGGCUGCGUCCCAAAUCGCACACUACCAUUACCAUUAAUCAGAUUAUAGCAUGCUAAUGCUACAUGCUAAUGCUAACACUAGCAGUUAAUACAACCUAGCGGUCACCAGUUAGCAGCAGUUAAUGCAGCAUUAAGUGGGAAUUGGCCUCUUUUACUCAUCGGCUCCCCCUGUAGAUGGCAAGUGGAAUUACACCACUUUUACACCACUACUGUAAAUACAAAUUAUUAUUUUUUUAUCAAGCAACACAUUUAACGAAUAUACACUGAUAUUCCAAAAUUCAUGGGACAUGACUUGAUUAUGUUGUCCCAUGACUUUUGCUAUGUCCAAUAUCUUGAUGUCCUGCAUUGAAUGUGUAUCUGGAUUUAUGCUAGUCACUAGUCUCUGUUUGCAUGGACAAAUCUAACCAGAUGCUGUCAGCCACCAUCCUUACCUACCAUUGUGUGGAACAUAGGUAUAAUCUGUAUACGUUAUGAGGUGUUAUCUUGUGAGUGAGGACAACACAAUCACCACAACCUGCUGGUUUGCUUUAAACGAUGCUGUUUAAGACCAUUGAUUUCCAUUCACUGUUAGCCACGUUAGCAUAAGUUUUUCACUUGUGUUUCAUGACUUAACCAUUACUUUUAUUAUAAAAACGCCUCACAGCGAGUCUGAAAGGAAGCUAAAAACCAUAUUUAAGAUUUUAUAAGUGGGUGUGAUGUGAAUCUGGCCCUGAUCUGAUCUGAUAUCAGUUUAUUUGACUGGAGGCUCACGGUUCCUGUAAACACGCUGUGUUUAUGAAUGCAGGCCGCAGGCUACGUCUGAACGCUAAAGCUAACUCCACUUUGAUGUAGCUGGUGCUAUAGAUUACGCGCACACACACACAUACACACACAGAAGCUAUACAGUAAUACGGCUUCUCAUUAUGAAUGAUGUUUUGAACACAUAAGCUACGAAUCCUCACUCUCAGACAGACAGAUAGACAGACAGACAGACACACCGACUGACACACACACACUCUGUCAGUGUUUAUCUGGGGGUGAACAGCACUCACAGACCCAGGGAGAAUGCCAGUGAAAGUGUAAGCUGCAAAACUACACACUAAAAAAAAAAGAGGAAUGUGUUUUUUUUUAAUCCAUGUAAACGAAGCUGAACUCACCUGUGUACCUCACAGAGAUGUGACAUCACUAAUUUUUACACCAUAUUAAUAUGUCAUCAUGUCCCUGUGCAAAAUAAAGGCAUUUCAAAUCACCCCACUGACUCCAGACCUUUUUAUUACACUGAAUAAUAAACUAUUAAAAUAAUCUGGAUUAGUUUUGUUCAGUUUCACACUGCAGUUUGUGGGAGACUGGGGUUUAAUUCCAGGUCUGGGUGAUUGAAAAUUGAAAUUGGAGUGCUACACCAAUAAAAGUCCUUGGGCAAGACUCCUAACUCUACAUUGGCCCACCUCUGUAACACAUUAAGCCACUUUGCUCAAAUUUGAUUGCUCACAUUUGUCUUUCUUGUCGGUUCACAUUCACUGGAAGUUCAUGCUCAGGUCCAUGAGGUGAAAAAAGGACAGGCGGUUUGCUUUUGCUGUUUUUUUGCAGCUAUAGCUGCACAGCUUCAGCAAGAGAUGCAGUGUGGGUACGAGAGAGAAGCACGUAGCCCUAAUGCUAAUGCGUAAAAGCAAAAAAGAAGCAUGAAUUCUGAUUAGACCAUUCACAUUCACCUCACAGGUAUGAAAGUGACUCAAAUCUGAUUUGAAAAAAAAUAGUUCACACAGCCAUGAUCUGAGCCACAAUGAGCAAAAAAAAAAAAAACAGCCUGGUAAUGUGAACGUAGAAUUUGAAAGAAUCAUGAGGGUGAAUUUGUUGUUGUCUCUCUGAAUAAGUAUUAAAUGAACACACAUUUUUUUAUUUCUGUGGAAUUUCCAUUUAAUAUUAAUAAUACUUGAUGUACAAAAAAUGGAGCUUUAUUCAGCUUCUGGGCAAAUAAACAAAUGCUUCCUCAGAUCCUCUGCAAUACUCCUGGCACUCAUGGUUUUAUGGCAGUGUGUGUUUGUAUGCGUGUUUGUGUGUGUGUGUGU